rnacentral:rRNA from 1 species
GACGAACGCUGGCGGCGUGCCUAAUACAUGCAAGUUGAGCGCUGAAGGUUGGUACUUGUACCAACUGGAUGAGCAGCGAACGGGUGAGUAACGCGUGGGGAAUCUGCCUUUGAGCGGGGGACAACAUUUGGAAACGAAUGCUAAUACCGCAUAAAAACUUUAAACACAAGUUUUAAGUUUGAAAGAUGCAAUUGCAUCACUCAAAGAUGAUCCCGCGUUGUAUUAGCUAGUUGGUGAGGUAAAGGCUCACCAAGGCGAUGAUACAUAGCCGACCUGAGAGGGUGGUCGGCCACAAUGGGACUGGGACACGGCCCAAACUUCUACGGGGGGCAGCAGUAGGGAAUCUUCGGCAAUGGACGAAAGUCUGACCGAGCAACGCCGCGUGAGUGAAGAAGGUUUUCGGAUCGUAAAACUCUGUUGGUAGAGAAGAACGUUGGUGAGAGUGGAAAGCUCAUCAAGUGACGGUAACUACCCAGAAAGGGACGGCUAACUACGUG